AUUGAACGCUGGAGGCAGGCCUAACACAUGCAAGUCGAACGAGUGGCGGACGGGUGAGUAAUGUCUGGGAAACUGCCUGCUGGAGGGGGAUAACUACUGGAAACGGUAGCUAAUAACGCAUACCAUCGGAGGUGCCCAGAUGGGAUUAGCUAGUCGGUGGGGUAAAGGAUCACCUAGGCGACGAUCCCUAGCUGGUCUGAGAGGAUGACCAGCCACACUGGAACUGGGACACGUCCCAGACUCCUACUGGAGGCAGCAGUGUGGAAGAUUGCACAAUGGGCGCAAGCCUGAUGCAGCCAUGCCGCGUGUAUGACGAAGGCCUUCGGGUUUUAAAGUACUUUCAGCGGGGAGGCGUUACCCGCAGAAGAAGCACCGGCUAACUCCGUGCCAGCAGCCGCGGUAAUAC
rnacentral:rRNA from 1 species